rnacentral:rRNA from 1 species
AACGCGAAGAACCUUACCUACACUUGACAUGCCUCUUGGGACUUUCAGAGAUGAUUGUUUUCGGUUCGGCCGGGGAGUGCACAGGUGCUGCAUGGCUGUCGUCAGCUCGUGUCGUGAGAUGUUGGGUUAAGUCCCGCAACGAGCGCAACCCUUAUCGUAUGUUGCCAGCAUUUAGUUGGGCACUCAUGCGAGACUGCCGGUGAUAAGCGGGAGGAAGGGGGGGAGGACGUCAAGUCAUCAUGGCCCUUACGUGUAGGGCUACAAACGUGCUACAAUGGUGGUUACAAUGGGCAGCAAAGUCGCGAGGGUGAGCUAAUCCCUAAAAGCCAUCUCAGUUCAGAUUGAACUCUGCAACUCGAGUACAUGAAGUUGGAAUCGCUAGUAAUCGUGAAUCAGCAUGUCACGGUGAAUACUUUCCCGGGUCUUGUACACACCG